UAGGGAAUAUUGUGCAAUGGGCGAAAGCCUGACACAGCCAUGCCGCGUGUGUGAAGAAGGCCCUAGGGUUGUAAAGCACUUUCAGCGGAGAAGAAAAGCCCGGGAUUAAUACCCCCGGGUCUUGACGUUACCCGCAGAAGAAGCACCGGCUAACUCCGUGCCAGCAGCCGCGGUAAUACGGAGGGUGCGAACGUUAAUCGGAAUUACUGGGCGUAAAGCGCGCGUAGGCGGUUCGUUAAGUGGGAUGUGAAAUCCCCGGGCUCAACCUGGGAACUGCAUUUCAAACUAGCGGACUAGAGUGUAGUAGAGGGAGGCGGAAUUUCCUGUGUAGCGGUGAAAUGCGUAGAUAUAGGAAGGAACACCAGUGGCGAAGGCGGCCUCCUGGACUAACACUGACGCUGAGGUGCGAAAGCGUGGGGAGCAAACAGGAUUAGAUACCCCCGUAGUCC
rnacentral:rRNA from 1 species